rnacentral:rRNA from 1 species
UAGGGAAUCUUCCACAAUGGACGCAAGUCUGAUGGAGCAACGCCGCGUGAGUGAAGAAGGGUUUCGGAUCGUAAAGCACGGUUGUUGGUGAAGAAGGAUAGAGGUAGUAACUGGCCUCUAUUUGACGGUAAUCAACCAGAAAGUCACGGCUAACUACGUGCCAGCAGCCGCGGUAAUACGUAGGUGGCAAGCGUUGUCCGGAUUUAUUGGGCGUAAAGCGAGCGCAGGCGGAAGAAUAAGUCUGAUGUGAAAGCCCUCGGCUUAACCGAGGAACUGCAUCGGAAACUGUUUUUCUUGAGUGCAGAAGAGGAGAGUGGAAUUCCGUGUGUAGCGGUGGAAUGCGUAGAUAUAUGGAAGAACACCAGUGGCGAGGGCGACUCUCUGGUCUGUAACUGACGCUGAGGCUCGAAAGCAUGGGUAGCGAACAGG